CUCGUAGGUGGCCAACUAAGUCAGACGUGAAAUCCCUCGGCUUAACCGGGGAACUGCGUCUGAUACUGGAUGGCUUGAGUGUGGGAGAGGGAUGCGGAAUUCCAGGUGUAGCGGUGAAAUGCGUAGAUAUCUGGAGGAACACCGGUGGCGAAGGCGGCAUCCUGGACCAUUACUGACACUGAAUAGCGAAAGCCAGGGAGCAAACG
rnacentral:rRNA from 1 species